AGAUCGACUUUUCCGGUAUAGAUUGAACAGCAGAGUAGUAGUGCUUUCUGUCGGACUCUUGCACGUUACAUUUUUUCAUAAUAUCUUGAUCGAUAAUAUGGCUUUUGACCAGUCCUCUGCCAGUGCGUCUGAAAAUGCUGAGGCCUCGGAACUUCAGAUGAUGAUAGCAGUCGAGCAACAGAAAGCUCAGUUUGAAGCACAGGUGCACACCUUCACCGACGUGUGCUGGGACAAAUGCAUGGAUAAGCCGAGCAGCAAGCUGGACUCCCGGACCGACACGUGCCUGGCUAGCUGUGUGGAGCGCUUCAUUGACGCCACCCUCACCAUCACAAACCGCUUUACUCAUAUGGCGCAGAAAGGGGGCAUGCAUUGACUUAGCAGGGAGAAGAGGAAGAGAAGGGGUAUGCAUUGAUUCAUUAAUUCAGUCACUGAGCCAGACUCAACACUUCAGGGACAAGAUCAAAGGACCUGUGCAACGAUUAUCAUCUUGUUCAAUGACUAUGCUGAUCCAUUUUUAUUUUUAUUACGUUUAUUUGGCAGGGACAAUGCACAACAAAAACAUAAGUCUCAUAGCACUGAGAAAUGAUGUCGCACCAGAUUUAGCUAAUAGCUACUUUCCAUCUGUAGUCCCUAGGCAGGUGAACAUGGACACAUCAUACACAAAACAGGCAACAUAAAUACAUCAGACAUGUAAAAAACAAAUAGAUGAGGACAUAGAUACCUUUUUAACACGUAGGUCAACACAUUGCACAUAAACAUGUUGCUGUUGGAUAAAAAUUGUUAUCUGUAAUGAUGCAGGCCUUUUGACUGUGCAUCAUGUUAUGGAGUUCUAAUGUGGGAUCUUUAAUGGUAUUCAUUGCUCUGCUUUGAACAUUUCAAUAAAAGGAAUAGCCUGAAGAGCAAUGAGCCAGAUGGGAAAUUCUUUAUUUUAAGGCAACAUCUCUCUGUGAAUUUAUAGGGUGAGCUCAUUUUGCAUUGCCCAGUCCCCUGGCUGUGGCCUGGGUGAGUGGAGUAAGCACUUGAUGUCUGAAGCAGAGCCCUUCUGUCUCUCUCUGUAUGUGUAGGCCAUCUAUCUGAUGCUGUCUGUUCAAAAAUAGUAUGACAUUGUGGCCACCCGUAGCAUUGAAUACAAGAAAAGCCAGCGAGCGUUUGGCUUCCAUUGAUUAAAAAAUAUAUAUAUAAAAUAAUAGCCAAUCAGUGUUGAGCUAAACUGAGUGAACCCAACUGUGAAUGGUCCUGGUGCACCAAAAAGAAAAAUGUAAAGGGAAGCCAGAUUGGAUUUGGCUUCACUCCAAACACAUCAAAUUGACAUCAAAUAUGUCAUUGACUAAAACAACUUGAAUUGUUGCAUCUCGUUGUGUUGUCUUCUGGUGGCUCGCUAGCUAAAAUGAUUCUUCUUUCCUAAAUUAGCCAUGAUUGGCGAUAGGCAUUAGUGGUUUUACUUCAUUCUCCGUACUGGCCAGUGACUAUAACGGCGAUUCUGAUCCCACCAUAAAUUCAUACAUUGUACCCCCGGCCUGAGUGGAUGGAAGUUCAAUAUUUAGCCAAAUGUAGAAGGCUAAUGUUAACUGGCUAACGUUGCCCAUGAAAGGAAGUUAGGCUAUCGAGCAAGAAUUUUAGCCAGGUAGCAUAGGACAACAAAAAAAGUGUACUGUAUGACAGAAUCAUAGACUGUUUUGUCAACAUGAACGAAAGGAUAGUGGUAUUGACGUUUCUCUACAAGUAGGGUGAGUCAACAUGUUUUUUUCUACUUGCAUGAAUGCACACACACAGACACACAUCAGAACCAUAGAAAGACACGUAUUUAGCUUAAGUUGGUUGGCCUAAAUUGUUUUUGUUAUCUUUUAGUUGUCACUGUGUUAGACUAAGCAUAGGUGAUUUGAUGAUGUUGAAAUGGUGCUGGAAUAGUGGAGGCAGCUCCUGUUUUCUUUGCUACUUGCAGUAACUCUCCGUGGUUCUAAAUCAUUAGUUGUCCCAAAAUGUCAGAAACAUUAACUUGCUUGACCAUGCUGUAGGUCAUGUAACGCUUACGCAGUUUGGAGUCCACGGGGGUGCAAAAUGAGUGCGCCCAUGAGAUGAGAAAGAAAACUAGGGAAUGGUCAACAUGUACUUCUUCACCCUACAAUCUAAAGGGUGAUGACGGGUAGGAAUGAAAUUAAAACUGAGUAAGAACAUGGUUGAGUAGGCCCUUUAUUCGUGGGGAUUUAAAAGGACAGAAGGCAGCAGUUGUGCAUGUAUUGUGGAAUACAUUUGACUAGCUUAUGAUAAUUGAAAGUUUUUGUUGUUGGAACGAUUACAUAGUUUAUUGAAGAAUAAAUAGGCUUUAUUGGCUGGCUACGUGCAUGACAUGCCGAAGGGUGUGUGUCACUUUAAGAACUUGAAUGGAAAAUAAAAGAAGGGUUUGUAUAACGACAUACUAGAGAAUCAAAAGUGAAAGUAAAGUGAUCCUAUGCGUUGCAAAAGCCUCGACUUUAUAUUUGACUACUUUCAACAGAUACCGACUAUGGAACUAGAAGAGAUCACUUUUUCUGGCUGGACUGCAAUUGAGGAGAAGAAUCUCCAUGCAGGCGAGAAGCCAAAAGACGAGAAAGUUUACACCAUGUACCAUGGCACGUUUCUCAAGUAUGUCCAGCAUAUUAUCACCAGUGGGUUCCAACGCUCCAGGGAUGGAAUGUUGGGAUCGGGGGUCUACGUGAGCCGUAAUAUCGACAAAGCAAAGUGUUACCCGCUGAAUGCUGACAAGAAGGAAGCGGUAGUGUUGAAGUUAAAGGUGCGGGUUGGCAAGGUGAAGAAGAUCGACAUUGAUAACCAUCCGCUUCAGAAGUCAUGGCACCAGAAUGGUUACGACAGUUGCUGGGUGCCACCAAACUGUGGCUUUACCGCUAUUAAAUCUGGCCGUGAAGAGGAUUGCGUCUGGGAUCCCGCCCGGAUUGUGGUGGUGGAUGUGGCCUGCUGUCUGGACGAUAAAACGCGCUGGGACCUCCGAAAGCAAAUACGCGGCAUGAAUAACCAUGGCGCAAAAGACGGGUGCAGCCAGUGCCACCAGAAUACCUCAAACACUGGGUCUCACCCUAUCCAAAGCUGUUGGACAUGCACCAAACAGAUUUGCCCCUUUCAGAAGAAGCAUGUGUGCAACAAGUAACUACUUGCACAAACAACUAGUCCUACUUUGCGUGGCCUGUCUCGCUUUUGACCCAUCACCCAAUGUGACCUUGCAUACCAUUUCAAAUUAAGCUUGAUGUCAUGUUUUAAUGUAUUUUGUGUAAUCAUUGCAACCCAAUUGUAUUGGGAUCGAAUUUGUUAACGGACUUGCCUGGUUAAAUAAAGGUUCAAUUGUAU